UUAGAAUCAACUUCUACUCUUUUGGUGGUGGCUGAUUGAAUAGACUUGUGCAUUUUUCAUAGCCGCUGCUUGGACAUUAUUCGUAGUUUCUGUUUUGAAUCGACCUGUUUGUUAUUUGUAGUGACUAUUUGAAAUCGGCUUGUGCUUUUUUUUUUGGGAUGGAUCUUUAAAAUCGGACUUCUGAGUAGUUAAGGGGGAUGCACAGUGAGAAAACAUCGAUCUAGGUCAAAAAUAUCGAUAUUUUAAAAUUAAUUGAUUUUAAUAGUUUAAAAUGUCUAGAAAACGAAUUCCCUAUCAGAAUACUAAAAAAACUGCGCUUUAUACAUCAAUUUUGUAUUUUAAAAGUAGAUGUAUAAGCAAAAUUUUGAUGUUUUGGUUAAAAAUCAACAUUUUGUAAGCUAAAGUUGAUAAGCUAAUGUACGCUCUUAUCCCUAACAGAUGGUAUCGAUACAAAGGUCUACUUUUCUAGUUCCGAUUAUGAGCAUGGGUUCUCAUUCUAUAAAUAUAAACUUUCAAAAUACGUCACUACCUCUUUUUUUUUCCUAUAUCCUCAUAUACACACUCACUAAGCCAUAUUUACGCAUGCGCACUAUCAAAGCUACAUUGGUAACUAUGACAACAAAAUUUGCACGCAUGCGCACAUGACGUGAACCGGUCCUUCUGUAAACAUUUGAAAGCUUCCUUCACAUCAACACUCGAUUCAUUAUUCAAACUCAGAAAUGCCAACAAAAGGUUAUAUGUUUGGAAAGAAAAAACGUUACUGUAAGCCCAGAGGAAGACAUGCUUCAAAGACAAAUGCAUAAUUACAAAGCUCUGUUUUGGAUACAGCUGGAUCUGAAGCAGCAACAACGCAGCCUGCAAGUGCAGCUGAACGAAAAAUAAUUCUAACUGCAAUUACUAACGCUGAUAACACCAAUAAGAGGCUGCCUGAAGAUUUCAUAUAUGAUGAAUUCAAUGGAAUUGACCACAAUGGUCUCCUUGUUGUGGUGUCCACAUUGCUUCGACAAAAAAUUAACCAUGUGCAUCACACAAUCAAAAGGCAUGGCUCAUUUGAUUAAAAUCAAAUGCCUAAAUUGUGAAACAUAUUUGUGGCCUGACUGGACCUCAAAAAAAAGUAAUAAUGUUCAUCUGGAUAUUAAUGUCCGCGCUGUCGCUGCAUUAAAAGAAUCUGGCAUCUCGCAUUCUAAAUUUGAUAGGUUUUGUGGACUUAUGAGUAUGCCCUGCAUGCACAGAAGCAAAACCGGGCAGAGGUUCUAGAAGGUCCAACCUAUCAAUCAGGCCAUUUUAAUGAAUAGUUUUUUUUAUCUAUUAUGUUAUAUUAUGUAAAUAUUCCCUUUUUUUUUUUUCAUUUUUAUGGUUGCAAUAAAUAUUUUAUAUCAUUAUAAAAACUUUAAA